CCUACGGGGGGCAGCAGUGGGGAAUAUUGGACAAUGGGGGCAACCCUGAUCCAGCCAUGCCGCGUGUGUGAAGAAGGCCCUCGGGUUGUAAAGCACUUUCAGUGAGGAAGAACGCCUGGUGGUGAAUACCCAUCAGGAAAGACAUCACUCACAGAAGAAGCACCGACUAACUCCGUGCCAGCAGCCGCGGUAAUACGGAGGGUGCGAGCGUUAAUCGGAAUUACUGGGCGUAAAGCGCGCGUAGGUGGCUUGAUAAGCCGGUUGUGAAAGCCCCGGGCUCAACCUGGGAACGGCAUCCGGAACUGUCAAGCUAGAGUGCAGGAGAGGAAGGUAGAAUUCCCGGUGUAGCGGUGAAAUGCGUAGAGAUCGGGAGGAAUACCAGUGGCGAAGGCGGCCUUCUGGACUGACACUGACACUGAGGUGCGAAAGCGUGGGUAGCAAACAGGAUUAGAUACCCGGGUAGUC
rnacentral:rRNA from 1 species